rnacentral:tRNA from 1 species
GGGGGUGUAGCUCAAUGAUAAAGCACUCACCUAGCAUGUGCAAGGCCCUAGGUUCAAUCCCCAGCACUUCCA